AUGUCUCCCCGGAGGAAGGAGAGGCGCGUGGUAGCCGUGGCCGGCGCCGCGGCGCUCGUUGCCGUCGGCCUCAACCUCGCCUUCUCCGCCGUCGCCGCCCACCGCCGGAGGAAGCGGCAAGAGCUUCCAGGGUUUAGUGCGCAGGUCAACCUCUCAGCAGCCGAAAUCAAGAGAUUGGCUGACCGGAUUAUUGCUAAGUCAAAGGAAACAUAUGAUGCCGUGGCCGCAGUUCCCCUAGAUAAGGUCAACUUCGCUAAUGCAAUUGCACCGUUGGCAGAAUUAGAUGCUCAGCAGUUUCCUCUGGUUCAAGCUUGUGUGCUCCCAAGGAUGGUGUCACCAUCCGAAGAUAUAUGCAGGGCAAGUGCUGAAGCAGAAAAGCGAUUGGAUUCCCACUUUCUGCUGUGCAGGCAGCGUGAAGAUGUGUACCGUGUUGUAAAGGCUUUCACGGAGAGAGAUGAAAGAAUAGGUCCAGAAGCAACAAGAUUUGUCCAGUGCCUGGUAAGAGAGUUUGAACGCAACGGAGCAAAACUAACCCAAACCAAGAAGAAAGAAAUGGAGAAGUUGAAAUCUCUCAUCGAUGACUUAAAUUUGAAGUAUAUUCAAAACAUGAAUGAUUUCACCAAAUUUCUUCUAUUAAGCGAGGAAGAGUUAGCUGGAAUGCCUCUUGAGUUUUUAAAGGAUCUGGAAGAAACAGAUGGAAAGCGCAAGGUUCUGUUGACAGGUUACCAUGUCACUCCAAUUCUUGAGCAUUGCAAGGUUGGCUCUACCAGGAAGCAGAUCGCUGUUGCUUAUGGCCAGAAAGGUGGAAAACAGAACGUAGCCAUCCUAGAAAAAUUGGUUCAGAUAAGACACAGGCUUGCGAGAUUGCUUGGGUACUCCAACUAUUCUGAUUUUGCUAUUGAACCAAGAAUGGCAAUGACAUCGAGGAAGGUGUUAGAAUUUUUGGAGGAAAUGUCAGAACAGUUAAGUGAUCUAGCUAAUAGAGAGCUGACCGUACUCAAAGAACUGAAGAUGAAGGAGGAAGGAGAUGCUCAAUUUGGCAUGGAAGAUUUAUUAUACUACAUGAAAAGAGGCGAACAGCACAAGGUUGAUCUUGACAUUGGUGAAAUUAAGCGAUAUUUCCCUGUUAAGCUGGUCAUAUCAGGAAUGCUUAAGAUGUUCCAGGAUCUAUUUGCGCUACGAUUUGAAGAAAUUAAGGAUGUGGAGGUUUGGCAUGAUACAGUUCGUCUCUUCUCUGUUUGGGAUGCAAGUUCAAGUGAUCUUUUGGGUUACUUUUUUCUUGAUAUCUUUUCCAGGGAAGGAAAAUAUGACCACACCUGUGUUGUGGCACUUCAGAAUGGAUGCAUGUGUUCUAAUGGUUCACGUAAGGUUCCGGUUGCAGUCUUAUUAUCUCAAUGUCCGAAAGAGUUUGAUGGGAAUUCAGCAUUGCUACGGUUCCCUGAAGUUGUGAGGAUAUUUCAUGAAUUCAGUCACGUGGUUCAUCAUAUAUCGAACAGGGCCACCUUUUCUAGAUUUUCAAGUCUCCGUCUGGAGGGGGACUUUGCUGAAAUUCCAAGCCUGUUACUCGAGAACUGGUGUUACGAGAGCAUUUCCCUAAAAAUGAUGUCCGGCUUCUAUCAGGACAUCACAAAGUCUGUCACUACUGAAGCUUGCCAGUCACUGAAAAGAAGGCGGGACAUGUUUGCUGGCCUGAAACUGAAGCAAGAGAUCCUUUUGUGCCUUGUUGAUCAGAUAAUACAUACAAGCGAGAAUGUGGACAUCGAUGACUUGAUCAAAGAUCUUCAUCCAAAGGUAAUGCUGGGGAUACCUUUGUUGGAAGGGACCAGCCCAGCUUCAUGCUUUCCCCGUAUUGCUGUUGGCUAUGACGCUGUGUGCUACAGUUACGUAUGGAGCGAGGUGUUUGCUGCUGAUCUAUUCACAACGAAAUUUAAAGAUGACUUGCUAAAUCAGCAUGCAGGGUUGAGGUUUAGAAAUAAGGUAUUGGCUCCAGGAGGCUCGAAAGAUCCUCUUGAGAUCAUAACUGACUACUUAGGAAGAGAACCAUCGCUGCAGCCUUUCAUUCAGAGCAGAACAAGGAACGCUUUGUGA
rnacentral:rRNA from 1 species